GACGAACGCUGGCGGCGUGCUUAACACAUGCAAGUCGAACGGGCCUUGUCCCCUUUUUUUGGGGGUGGGGUUAGUGGCGAACGGGUGAGUAACACGUGAGUAACCUGCCCCUCACUUCUGGAUAACCGCUUGAAAGGGUGGCUAAUACGGGGUGUUCUGGCCUGCUCGCAUGGGUGGGUUUGGAAAGAUUCGACCGGUUUUGGUUGGUUUGGUGGGGGAUGGGCUCGCGGCCUAUCAGCUUGUUGGUGGGGUGAUGGCCUGCCAAGGCUUUGACGGGUAGCCGGCCUGAGAGGGUGGGCGGUCACACUGGGACUGAGACGCGGCCCAGACUCCUACGGGGGGCAGCAGUGGGGAAUAUUGCACAAGGGGCGCAAGCCUGAUGCAGCGACGCCGCGUGAGAGAUGGAGGCCUUCGGGUUGUGAACCUCUUUCGCCAGUGAAGAAGGUCCUGCUCUUUGUGGUGGGGUUGACGGUAGCUGGGUUAAUGAAGCGCCGGCUAACUACGUG
rnacentral:rRNA from 1 species